UUGUUUCCUUCCAUGCUCAAAUGCCUAACUUGUCUACUUUUUAUUCAAGCACCUCACAUGAAAAAUAUCUAUACAUACAAAAAGUGGUACUUUGCUAACUCCUUUUUUUAUGAAAGCUAGCUAUAGAGCAACACAAUAAGUGUCUUACCCUUUGCACAUUCUAUACAUGUUAAUUUUGGGUUGCAGCCACUUGAUGAAAUAACUAAAAUGACUUGUGUUUGUGUCUUUCUAUUUCAUUGCUACAUGAAUUUGUCUCUCACCAUAUGCAAAAGGUAUGUUAUAUGUACCUUUUUAAUUAAUAUCACCAUUAUCUUUUAUAUUUUCAUCUAUCUAUGUUCACUUUAAUUUAAAUUUAUACAUGUAAUAUAGUUUAUAUAUUUAGGGUUUGACCAAACCAUAUGCAACACCAUAUAUAAGAAUAUUUUAUAUAAAUAUAUAUCUAGGUUAGUGUACCUAAUAGCUUAGUGUUUUUGUGUUACUUUUACUUUGGUUAAUUCUAGGAAUCAAUUGCAUAAUUGGCUAAUAAUUAAGUAGAGAGAUAAAACUAUAUGAAACUAAAUAAUAUUUAAUACUUUCUUAUCACUCUUUUAUAUUUCCCUCUAUUAGUUUGAACUAGCUUAAAUCAACUUUUUUUAAUAUGUUUGAAGCUUAAUGAAACUUCUUUAUUUCAACAACCAACAUGAUUAGACAUGUGGACCUUAUAAUGAUCUCAAAUAGACACCAACUAGUUGAAUGGAGUGUUAAUGAUCAUUCUAGUAUAGAACUUACCAAAAUGGGUUAGUGGCUUUAUGAAGAUUAAGAGAGAUUGGUGAAAAACUUUGGUUAGUAGCAUUAAAAUAAAGUUUAAUUCAUUUAGCUUAUAAAGGAAAAUAUUCUAUAUACAAAAAUUUCUAUAGUUGCUAUACUUUUACACAUUUGUUAUACAAGACAAAAUUAUAAACACACUAUGAAAAAUUUAUUGCAUAUGCAUGAUGAAUAUAUAGUAAAAAAAUGAAUGAUAUAUUAAUUGAAUUUCUAUACACUAUUUUUAACCAUAUGUAUGUAGAAAAUUAAUUUAAGAGAUGGAAAAUAUUGAAAUAUAAAAAAGUAAAAAUUAUUGAGAAGGUAAAGGCAAGUGGAGUUUGGUAUAGUGUGGAAUGCUCAAAGGUUUAAAAUGGAAUCAAAAUCAGCAUCCAACAAAAAACAAAUAGAAACUAAAGAAAAUAAUAACCAACCAAAAAACCAAACUUCCUCCUCGUAUCUCAAACUGAAAAACAGCUUUAUCAAAGUACAAAGCAAUUAAACAAAUUAAAUCCUUAACACACAUCUUAAUUAAUUACACAAAAGAUGAUCAUAAACAAAUCAUAACAAAAAAAGAAGACAAUAAAAAAAAAGUAGAUAACUAAAAUAAGAAUAGAACAAGAUCUCAACAAACUUUGCACACUUCUCUUCAUAAAAGCAACCUCCUCAAUAAAUUACCUUUCACUUUUACCCCUUAAUUUACACACAUCAACCUUCAAAACUAUAUAUAUAUAUAUAUAUAUAUAGUACCACUCCCAAACUCUCAAGUAGCAUAUAUAAUAUAUAUACUAAAUAUAUUACAAGAAUACCAUAUAUAUAUAUAUAUACUUGUUUGAUAUAUAUAAUGAAACAGGUUCAAGUACCAUUAGAGUGAGGGGAAGAACAUUCAGAAACAACUUCAUUUUCAACUUCUCUUUUGUGAAAGUUUCUAUGACAACCACAAGCAGCACAAAUUAAAGCAACACUUGUACCUUCUUCACCACUUGCCAUAAAUUCUCUACAACCAUCAACAGCAUAACCUCCAACAUUAGCUGCAUGAUUCUUUUGACACUCUCCAUAUUUCACACUUCUUUGUUGAUCUUCACAUGAUGAUGUUCUUCUCACAACUACUUGUCUCUUCCUCAUCUUCUAAAAUAUUUUUUUCUUCAAAUUUUUCUUGCUUCAAACCCUGCAAAAAUUAUGUUGAAUUUUUUUCAAAAAUGUUUUGUUGAAACAAAAACAUAAACUUCAAUAGAAAGAAAUUAAGUAGAGAGAGAGAGAGAGAGAGAAAAGAGAGAGAGAGAGAGAGACAAGAGGAGGAGAGGUUACUCUGUGUAUGCUGAGCCCUAACCCUAAAAAUGUGAGAAUGUGUAUUUAUAUGGUAAACUCGAUCUCCUCAAUUAAUAUUUAAAUGUUAGCCAAUAAGUGAAGCCAGCUCAUAAUCACUUUAUUUAGUUUUUUUUUUACUGUAUCUAUCUACAAUUCAAUCAUGUAAUUUUUAAGUAACGGUGGUUUAUCUCAACUUAGAAGUUUUAAUUAAUGUGGAAAUAAUUAUAUGGAUUGUCAUACAUUUAAUAAACCUACCUGCUAUAUAAUUUAUUAUAAAUAUAAGAAAUUUGUUUGACAUAUAUUAAAUAAGUAAAUUCAACUUUUGCCUAAAAAAAGUAAAUUCAACUUUCCACCAUAAAAUUCUAUUAUAUUCUAAAAAAAGGAAAUUAUACUAUAUGUUAUUUUUAAAAAUGUGUUUCACAUUUAUAUCUUGAAGAUUAAAAAAAAUUAAAGUAGUUAGAAGAAGAGACUCCACUUUCUCAAGAGGCAUUAAGAGAUUCAUAAAGUUAGAAGAUACUUUGCACCUAUAAUUAAUAUAACAAAACUAUAUAAUUUGUAAGGAUAAAAAAAUAAAGUUAAUUGAAGAUUACAAUAGAAGAAAGUAGGGAUGUCAUACACACAAAUAAAUUGUAAUAUAUUUAUUUCUUUAAAGUAAAUAGUAAUAUUUUGAACAAAUAAUAAAUGAAUUAUUAUUUUUAAAUAGUUUAAAAUAUUAUUAAUGAAAUUUUUCUUAUAAAAUAUUAUAUUACUUAAUAGUUAGCGAAAGCAAAAGGAUUAUUUUUUUAUUUCUAGAAUGUAAUUCCGAGUGUAAAAUUAUAUUACACAAAAAUAUUUAAUCAUAUCUCAACAUUUUGAUAUUUUACAAGUAUAAAUUUAGAAAAACAUACAGUGAUAUGAUGUUGCAAUGAAAUGUGUAAAAAUAAUUUACACAAUCUUAUUUCAGUAUAAAUAUAUUUUGUACACUUUAAUUGCAUAAAUAUGAAGAUGAGAUUAAUUACUAUGUAACAUCUAUGUAGUCAGAUUCAAUUGAUUUACCAUAUAAAAAAGUUACAAUAUUAAUGCAUAGUCUUUAAACUCUACUAUGCAUAGAGUUUAUAAGGCCUUUAAUAGUGAUGCGUUUAAAUUAGAAAAUUUUAUGCUUUUCACCUAAAUAGAGAUGGGUUUAGUUAGCAAAACAAUAAAGUUGGGUUUGAUUUGGAAUGAUCAGCUAAGCCAGAUUUAAGUCUCACGUACCGUGGCCCCUAAUUUGAUAGUAAAAGGCAAUUUUGUGGGGUGCAUUGAUUCGAUACCAAUAACAUUUGUCUAUAGCACUUGACCUAAAAACGUGACCACGAUAGAUAAGCUAUGUCAACCCUGUAAGACAAUAUAUUUUUUCACAAUAUAUGAUUCAUUUAAUUUGUUUGCAUGUACAUGUACUUAAUUACUUCUAUAUAAAACUAUUAGAAACAAUAUUUAAUACUUACAUUAACCACUACACGCAAAAACCUAUUUUACAGCGUUUUUUCAAAAAAAAUAAGCGUUGUAGCAUCCAGCGCCGUAAAAGAUACAACAGCGCUUUUUAAAAUAAAAAAGUGCUAUAAAAUAGGUAGAUAUAUUGCGCGCUUGUUAUACUCAUUUUACAUCACUUUUUGAAAAAAACGUUAUAAAAGAUGUAUUCAAUAGAUGCAUUUUUAUGCACCUAUUACAGCGUUUUUUUGAAAAAAAUGUUGUAAAAGGUGCAUUCAAUAGAUGCAUUAUUAUGCACCUAUUACAGAGCUGUCUUUUAAUUUUUUUUUCAAAAUUAUUUUCAUCCAGAAUCAGUUCACACAAUCAUUUCACAACCAGUACACAACAACAGAACUAUAUAACUUUAUAAUUUAACUUUAUAACUUUACAUAUUUACACAAUCAGUUCACAACAUAUUCAUAUACAUAUUCACAUAUUGACAACAGCACAAAACUAUAUACAUAUUCAUAUAACUACAUAUUCACAACUUUUCAAAUGUGUCAUAUUCAUAUACAUAUAACUAUUAGAACUACACAUAACAGAACUACCAUAUAUUCAUAUAACUAUCCCUUGUAGCAUGCCAUUUCCCAGGAAAUCAAAUAAUUUUCAUUUCAAUCAUAUACUGACAUCAGUAUUCGUUUAUUUCAAUUAGAUCUCUUUCAGAGUAUGUUGGACUGGAAUUGUCAAAGUACUGUGCGAAUAAUGACAUCAGUCUUCCUUUAUUUCAACAUAGUUUAUAUAUGAAAAUCAAAUAAUGAAAAUACCGUAUCGUUUCUAGGAUUAUAGUUUGAUUCAUAUCAACAAUCUCCUUCAUGAAUUGCAAUAUAUAGUACCCACAGUCGAUGUUGUUAGUUUGACGAGGGCACUAUAAAAUAAAACAUAUAAGUCAAUAAAUAUCUGUGCAUUGAUAGCAGUAUAAGUUCAACAUGCAUUUUAGUGAAACAAAAAACUAAUAAAUAUAAUACCUGAAAAACAAAAGAAGAAUAGGGUUACAGCGCAUAAAUACGAACGGUUUGUAAGACAGUAGGAUUCGCAGCAACAAAGAUGGUUCGCGAUGACAAGGAGAAUGAAUAGGAAACAAGCGUAUGAAGUUUACGUAAUGAGGGUUAGUAACAAGACAAUAUUGUUCGUAGGGUUCACAAUGAGAAAGAGAAUGAAGAGGAGGAGGAAACAAGCGUACAAAGUUUACGUAAUGAAAAGAAAACUGAAGCAGUUUAGGGUUUAGGGAUAGUAUUUGAAUGAGAGUUGGUAGGGAUAGUAACAAAGGUGGAGAUGGUUUGCAAUGGAGAUGGUUGGCAAUAUGGUUCGUAUGGAUAGUAGGGUUCGCAAUGAGAAGGACAAUGAAGAGGAGGAUGACUCUGAAGCGUAGUGAAGUUUACGAAAUGAAGAGGAAACUGAAGCGGUUUACUGUUAUAUAUAAAACACUAUUAUAGCACUCAUUGAAAGAGCGAUGUAAAAGACCUCCUUAGCUUAGUUUUUAAAAAUCUGUUACAGCGCCCUUUGAAAGAGCGUUGUAAAAGACUUUCUUAACUUAAUUUUUAAAAGCCUAUUACAACGCUCUUUGAAAUUGCGCUGUAAAAGACCUCAUUAACUUAAUUUUUAAUAGUCUAUUACAGCACUUUUUAAUGUUAACUUUUUAUUUGAAGUUAGUUAUUUAAUUAAUAUUAUUUGAUUUUUAUUUUGACAGUGACGUUAUUGUAUUGAUUGAGAAGAGUUGUUAUUUGUUCAUAACUUUCAAGUCAAACACUACUCUAUAUAAAGUAAUUAUAUAAUGUCUUUUAAAUAUAAAUUAGUAUUUUAUACAUUAGUAUUGAAAAAAGUUAAAUUUAUUCCAAAAGAAGGUUAAAUGGUUAUAUAAUAUUUUUUUUAAAUUAAAAUUUUACUCUAAAAUGUCGAAUAUAUUAUUUUUACAGUUUGUUAUAAUAUUAUUUUUAAAGUUUAAUGUUAGUAAAAUUUGUUAAAAAAGUGUUAGUAAAAUAUUUGUACUGUAAAAAUUUUACCCAAAUUAAAAUGUUAUCUUUUUUUAUUGUAGUUAUUUAUUUUGUUAUGGUUUAUUAUGUUAGUAAAAUGUUAUUUUCUUAAGAAAUUGUAAAUUUUUUCAAAAACCAAAUAAUACUUAUUUAAAAGAAAGUAAUUUCAUAAUAUUUUAAAAAGACAUAAAACGUUCAUAUUUUAAAAUGCUAUAGUAGAGUUGUAAAAAAAAAAAUUAAAUAGAGAUUACGUUGUUAAUGUAUAUAUGAUAAAUAAAAUUUAAAGCAUGUGAAAAAUGUAUUCAUUUUAAUGUAAUUGUUUUUUAAAAAAUAUAAGUUAAUUUUUAAUAGCAUAUUACAGUGUUCUUUCAAAGGGCGCUGUAAAAGACUUCCUUAACUUAAUUUUUAAAAGCCUAUUACAACGUUCUUUGAAAGAGCGAUGUAAAAGAACUCCUUAUUUUAUUUUUUAAAAGCCUAUUAUAGCGCUCUUUGAAAGAGUGCUGUAAAAAACCUCCUUAUUUUAUUUUUUAAAAGUCUAUUACAACGUUUUUUCAACAAGCGCUUUAAAAGACCUCUUAACUUAGUAUAAAACAAAUAAUUAGUAAAAUACUUAUAUUUGGAUUUAUUUUUUCUUCCAAAUAAUUAGUUAAAUACCUAUAUAUAUAUCACAUGAUCAGAUCAUAUUGGGAUGAUCAAUUAAAGUUCAAGAAAAAUUCUCAGUGCUCAAACAAAGCUUUUUCAAAUUCAAUAUAAGCAAAAAAUCAGUUCUGACAAGUCAAACACUUAAAUUACAUGAACUUUGUAUAAAACACUAAGAUCAAGCUAAAUAUAAGCAGAAAAAUAAGUAUAAACAGAAAAUCAAAUACAGUUCAAGCUAAAUAUUAAAAUGCUCAAUUCUGGCAGAUCAAACAAUAAAAUCACAUGAACUCAGUUCAGAUUACAUGGCUUAUUAUUAUUAUUAUUAUUAUUAUUAUUAUUAUUAUUAUUAUUAUUAUUAUUAUUAUUAUUAUUAUUAUUAUUAUUAUUAUGCAAAAAUGAUCAAUUACUUCCAUGAUUAAAAUGUCUUAAGCAUUGUUAUUGGUUGGAACUUUAAAUACUAAUUAUCACACAAUAAGUUACACUAUUUAUAUGCUUGCAAAUUAUAAGAUUUGUGUCCAACAUAUAACUAUAUAUGACUCAUAUAUCAUUGUAACAAGUGUAUCUUGAAAAGUAUAAUACAAACAAUAUCUUCUACAUUUUAUCUGUAUUCUUCUUUAAUUAUUAUCAAGAAUAUCUUGCUAUGUUUUCCACUAAAACAAAAGAAUAUCUUUCCAUGGUUUUGCCGUGAUGAAACUUUGGUGUACUUUUUCACAAUUUUGUAUUGUAAUUAUUAUAUAGAAUAUAUUUUUCCUCUAUGAUUGAAGAAAUAUAGAUUUUUUGUAUAUCUUUGAAGGUAUACAAGUAUUUUGGGGUAAGGGGAAUCCAAUAGAAAGGAACUACAUUGGGUAAAACAAUUGCCAAUUAUUGAAUUAAGCUUGAAUUCAUCGCCAUUUUUUUAUAAAAUUGUUCAAUGUAGUGUGUUUAAUUUUAUGUUACAUAUAUAUUAGUAUGUGUUUUUUUAUUUGUCACGGUUUUAUCUCUUAUCGUUUUUAACGAGCCAAUUAUUAUUUGUGCCUUGGACUAUUUUAUUGAGUUUUAAUCUAGCUCUUCAAUGUCUUUUAUUUUUUUUAUUUACUUUAUAACAAUAUUAGCGUGCAUACGAAGAUUCUAAUUGUGUAUUUUUUAAAUGUACCAACAUUUGUGGAGUUUAUUAUGCUUCUUUAUAUAAUUUUGAUUACGAUUUAUAAAUUAUUUAUAUUUUACAUGCUUUUUGUAUUUAUCAAUAAUUUAGUAAAAUUUGUAGUGCACAAAUAUUAAAACUAUAAGCAAAUUGAUUCAAAACUGUUGGCCAUGAUCAACAAAAUAGAACAAUGAUAUGGAAUUUCGCAAGUCUUGACAACGAAUUAAAAUGCUCUUAAAAACGACAACAACAAUAUAUAAAUUUUGAAUUUUUUUUUCACAAUUAUCAAUACUAGAUGCUAACCCGUGCGAUGCAUGGAUAUAUUUUAAUUUAUUUAAUUUAAGUGGAUUUUAAAAAAAAUCAAUAUAAAGUUUUAUGUCUCAAUUGUCAAAUGAUUAUUGAUACAGUAGUUAUAUCAAUAAUAUAUAUUCAAAUUUAUCAAUGUAAUUUAUAGAAGAUAAGUAUCCAACAAUAAAAAAACACGUAUAAAUAGUCGAAAUAUAUUUUAGGGAUAAACAAAAGAGAUAUAUGUACUCUCAAUUCAGAAGAAGUUGAAGAAAUUUUGCAUGUUAUUAAGUUCAAUAUUAUAUAUUCUGAAAAGAUGUAUACAAUUGCUAGCAAAUAAGUAGAUGGCAAGUAGAUACAAAAAUGUGAAGUUUAUUAAUUCAGACAAAAAAACGUAUAAAUAGAUGGCGAAAAUGUGAAGUUGAUUAAUGGAGACAAACAAAAAACGUAUUGAGUAGUAAUUAACGUCGAAUUAAUAUAAAAGAUGUUGGACAAACGUUAUGAAAUAAUAAUAUGACGUUAUGAAAUAAUAAUGUGAAAUUAGUUUAGAAAAUUUUGAGUAGCUAAUGUUUUCAAUAGCUUGAUUUUAUUAAACUAGAAUAUCUUGGGAAAAGUAGCUAAUGUUCUCAAUAUUCUUGAGAAAAUUUUGAGGGUACUAAACUAGAAUCAUGAGUAAAGUUGUUCCUUAAUAGGUUGAUCGUAAUAAGUUAGAAACUUGAGAAGACUAUAAUAUAGUCAAUUGAACAUAAGUAUCCUUUAAUGAAAAAGAUAAAUUAGUUUGGUUUAGUAGAAAAAUCUUCUAUAUAGAAGAAAAUAGACAUAACUACUAGUUGCAUUGUGAACUACGAUAAAGUCUUGUUUCUAUCUUAUUUCCUUUAACUUUAUCUGUAGCUUGUAGUAGAUUUAGGUUAAAAAGACAUUCUAAUAACCUUUUUCAACUUAUAUUGUACUUUUAAAAGUUAUGUCUUUGGUAGGAAGUUCAACAUUUUGAGUCUUUUAGCUAUGAAAGUGUUUAUGUUGAUUAUUUCUCCUUAACCAAACAAUUAUUGAAGUAUUGUUUAUCUUUUUUGUUCAGCUAUUGUAGGUGAGUAGUUGAAAUGGAAUCAUGCAACGUAAA
rnacentral:lncRNA from 1 species